AGUUCAAAAAUUUAUUAAAUCGGUUCAAACGAUACAUAUUAAACCCAAUAAAUCAAAUUAAUUGUGAUGGAAUCCUGAACACAUAUUCAUAAAAUCCAAACCCUGAAUCUGCGUGCUAGAUUUGUUCUUUCCUUUCCUUUUAUCUCACAAUUCUUAACUAAAAUGUAAUAUAUUUUCCAUAAAUUCUUGGAUAAUAGGAAACAAACAAAAUAAGGAAAGGAGUUACAAUUUUGCUUACAGGUUGGACAAAAGUCAUAGCUUUGGCCUAAAAAUAAUCGAAUCGUAAAAAUAAUUAUUAAACAAUUUAUAUUACAUUCUUUAAAAUGCGACCUUCUGCGUGAAUGCGAAAUUGGACUGCCUUAUUUAUAAAUAAUUUAUCUAUAAACCUUUUUUUAAAAUGCAGAAAUCACCUCUAAAAAAUUAGAUGACGAGAAAGAAUAACUUAAAUAAUCACACUAAGUACUUUGUUACAAAACCUCUAUAUCAGAAAUCCAGAAAUAAAUAAAAACGAGAAGAAAUAUUAUUAGAAAUCCUCAAGCAAGGGUGUGUUUGGAUAACAGGAAAAUAAAAAAGGAAAUUAAGAUCUAGAGUAACAAUUAAAUAUCUCUACCUCUUGGAGGUGGAGGUGGAGGUGGAGAUAGAGGAAGAGGAGCGAGGUAUCUAGUGAAAAACAGCCGCAGGCUUGGUAAUAUGCGAAGAGGAUUAUACGUCGUCCUUUGACGGAUAAAAUCCUCUAUCGAUUCCACGAACAAAUUCAAGCUCCUUAUCGGCGGCACAUAUAGUGUCAGCGGCGCCGCCGAGAACGCCACCGCAAAGAACACCUCCAACAUUCCUUUAAACCGCCGUCAACAACCACCGUAAAGUCAACACCGCCGUUGAUUUUGGCACUCCGGCAAAGAAUUUUUUAAAGGAAUUUUAUUUUUUCUUACUGAGUUUGACUAGAUGGUUCGACAUAUAUAGAUUUUGCAAGGGGAAGGGGUAAAUGUGUAUUUUUGAGAGAAGAGGGACAGAUUUUGUAGAAUAUUAUUCAUAGAAAGUAAUAUAGGAGAAAUAGAUAUGAGAUUUCCUAAAUGACAACUCAUUGAAUUUGGACAUUUUACAAGGGGAAACAAGAUUUGC
rnacentral:lncRNA from 1 species